GACGAACGCUGGCGGCGUGCUUAACACAUGCAAGUCGAACGGAAAGGCCCUGCUUUUGUGGGGUGCUCGAGUGGCGAACGGGUGAGUAACACGUGAGUAACCUGCCCUUGACUUUGGGAUAACUUCAGGAAACUGGGGCUAAUACCGGAUAGGAGCUCCUGCUGCAUGGUGGGGGUUGGAAAGUUUCGGCGGUUGGGGAUGGACUCGCGGCUUAUCAGCUUGUUGGUGGGGUAGUGGCUUACCAAGGCUUUGACGGGUAGCCGGCCUGAGAGGGUGACCGGCCACAUUGGGACUGAGAUACGGCACAGACCCCUACGGGAGGCAGCAGUGGGGAAUAUUGCACAAUGGGCGGAAGCCUGAUGCAGCAACGCCGCGUGCGGGAUGACGGCCUUCGGGUUGUAAACCGCUUUCGCCUGUGACGAAGCGUGAGUGACGGUAAUGUGUAAAGAAGCACCGGCUAACUACGUG
rnacentral:rRNA from 1 species